AGAAAAAAUAUCAGGACUUCUUCCCAUUCUUUAAAGAUAAAAAUAAGUCCUUGCUCUGUUAAGGGUCUUCCUUGGCAGAUCGCACGUUUUUUUUUUUUUUUUGACGAUGAUUGUGCCUGUUACAAACGGUGUAUACUGUUGUUAAAGUUCGGGUUUGGUUGUUGUGCAGAAAGGCAGUACAUAUGACAGAAAAUUUCAGCUGCUGACAUGAAAGAAUCUGAUUUUAGUGGUUCAGCAUUCAAUGAUGCAUACCUGGAGAACGCAGUAGCAUACAAGGCAAAUUUUACAGAGUCAUUUCAAGGCUGGGUAUCUUGUGACUGAAACCAUUGGUUUUCUAAGUAACAGAUUCUCGGGCAACUUCUGUAUUAACCCGUGCCGCCUCUGUUCCACAACCUGGCGGGAAUCAUCGAAUAGCAUAUAUUCGUCUCCUACAAGGAUAACAUUUAACUUUUGUCAUCACGGCUGUCUUCAUCAAGUCAUUAGUUUCAUCAUCUGAAGUUUUCGAUAGGUUAUCAAUGAAGCUAACCUCAGCAAUGCUGUGCUUGUUAGAUCAGCACUCACACGUAGUGAUCUUGGGGGUGCCCAGCUUGCAGGUGCUGACUCCAGUGAUUCUGUUAUAGACCUUCCACAGAAACAGGCUCUUUGCAGGCAUGCGAGUGGCACAAAUCCUACUACAGGGGUACGCAACAGAGCAAGCUUAGGCCGCGGAAACGGCAGACAAAAUGCUUAAGGGACACCUUCUUCUCCCUGUCAAGCGCUCCACCUCAGAAAUUGCUGGGCCGCGAUGGUUUUUGUGAUCAAGUCACUGGUCUUUGCGAUGCGAAAUAGUUCGAAGGCAAAGUGAUCCCAAUUUUAUGAAUCGGAACAACUACUUAAAAAAAUAACAGAAUAACAAAAGUUAAAGGGAGAGGCAAUUAACAUUUCCUUGCCAUUAAUGUUUUGAACCAAUUUUGAAGAGAAAUUUUCUGAAUUGCACAUGUAUCGAUAUAUGGCCGUGUUCUUUACCCCCUUGUUGUUAAGCCAUCAAUAUCUAGUCACAAAAGUUGAUUUUGUGAUCAAAAUAUGAACAAAGCCAAAGAGCUGUGAUAAGGUAGAUGCAGGCAGUGAGACAAGUGCACAAUGUUAAGUACUUACGAAAGCUUUCAUGCUGUCUUAGUAUUGAGCAUUUAGUGCUUUCCUAAUAAAAUUGCUCCUUCGUAU